UGAAAAUAUGAGGGAAACUUUUUAAAUAAAAGUUGGAUUUCAUCUUCCCCUUAUUUUGGUGAGGAAACUGAGAGAAAAGUAUCUAGCUCUCAUGACUGAGAUCUCUCCAAGGUACUGAAACCUCUAUCAGCUCCCAACUUCCCUUAAGUUUCUCUUCGCCAAAGAAGCACAUUGCCAACGUCGAGGACUCAAAGUGAGUGAGGUAUUCUUGCUAGGGUUUCUGAUUAAUUCUCUUCUUUCUCUCUCUGGAAUCGAACGAAGAUUUAGCCCUAAUCUGUAUAAUGUAAGAGGCUUGAAACUCGAUCUGAGCCUUCAAGUUUUCCGAUUGUAGUUUCAGGCUCUUUGACUCGUCUUUCAAAAUUUCCAGACUAUUGGAGGGCCACAUUUAACUUUGGAGGGUAUUCAACCCAGCCUAGUGAAAAAACUGAGAAAACUAUUGAAAUCUCCUCCUCUUUCUUCGAUUGUUUCAAUCUCUGAGAUCCACCAUGAGACCACCACCUCCACCACCACUACCACCUCCUGCACUACCACGACCACCACCUCCUCCACCUCUGCGGCCACAUCUACGUCCACCUCCUUUGUCAGCUCUGCCAACCCAUUCAAGACACAUUCAAUCGGUUCCACCAAAGAAAAUGAGGCCACCUCCACCAUCACAACCACCAUUGAAACGAAGAGCUAUGGGAGCAAUGGAAAGAUUUGAAAUAUUUGAGACAUCAUAAUCACAGUCUACAGAACUGUUAUGUUAAGAUUUUGCUCUUGCUUAUUUUUUCACUUUUUAAUGAUAAGUUUUAUCUUAAGGCGCGUUUUAUCUAGGCACCUAUGAUUGCAAGGUUAGAUUAUGUGAUUUGAUUAGUGUGAUUGUUGUGUACAAUGUUGCUUGCUAGCUUGUUUUCAAAAUAAUAUUGGAAGUUAUAUGUUAAAUGUCUUGUUGUAAAAUGUUUCCUAUGUAGGUGUAAAAUAUUGAAGAGACACAAAUCAACUUGUCAAUUGGCACUAAAAACAAAAACCUUACAUGACUGAUGAUACGAAUGAUUUUUUGGUCGAUUCAUUAACUGAGCAAAUGCACAAAGGCCAAAAUAUAGGAGGAGCUUUUACAAAAAUGACUUUAGCAACUGUUGCUCAUCUGGUUAGCGAACGGUUUGAGCAAUUCUAUCAUUCUGAUCAUGUCAAGAAUAGAAUGAAGACUUUGAAGAAGAAUUCUGUUGUAGCCAAAGAAUUAGUGAACACCAGUGGAUUUGGUUUUAACUAUUCUACACAAAUGAUUGAAGCAGUUGUCAGUGUUUGAGAAACUUAUAUUAAGGUAUACUCAAAAGCUUCUCAAUUUCAGUACAAAGCCAUUAGGAAUUAUGAAAAGCUUGGUGAACUUGUGGGAAGAUCACGCUACAGGAGAUCUUGCUGCACAUCCAAGGGAAAGGUUGCAUCAUUAGAGUAGAGAAGAGCCACAUUUGGAUGAUGACACGUCUCCAUUCGAAUCGAGUGAAUAUGGAGUCAGCAAUAAUAAUUCUGAACAAGGAUAUGGACUUGGAGAAGAAUCAUCUGCACAAGAGUCUACUCCUUCAUAAAAAAAAAAAAAAAGUGGUAAAAAAAAAAAGAAAACAACACUAAGUGACAUUGUGGCUGAGGAGUUAAAAAAUGUUAGAUCUGGUAUGUAUGCACUAGCUGCAGCUUUGAGUUGAGGCAUUUCAAACCUUGAAGCCGAAAAACAAUUAUAUGAAGAAAUCUUGAAAAUUGGUAAUAUGAGUGAGUUGUCUCAUAUGAAAGUUUACUCCGCUCUCACAAAAAAUGAGAAGUCUGCAUGGGCAUUAAUUUCUUGCUCUUCCAGAAGAUCAACGUCGUCUUUGAUUGAUGGUAGAGUUCGGUAGCGAACUAUUUGAUGUUUAGUUUUUUUUCUUUUUUAAUACUUUAGUUAGUUUUUAUAUAUCAAAUAUUAUUGAUAUAUAUUAAAUGUAUUAUCUUUUGAUUUUAUUUAAUGACAUAUUAACAAGUUGGUUAGUUUUUUAAAAAUUUAAUAUUAAAUUGAAAGUUGAAUAA